rnacentral:rRNA from 1 species
AACGUAGGGGGCAAGCGUUGUCCGGAAUCACUGGGCGUAAAGGGCGCGCAGGCGGUAUGUUAAGUCUGAUGUGAAAUUUCGGGGCUCAACCCCGGACCUGCAUCAGAUACUGGCAGACUUGAGUACGGAAGAGGUAAGUGGAAUUCCUAGUGUAGCGGUGAAAUGCGUAGAUAUUAGGAAGAACACCAGUGGCGAAGGCGACUUACUGGGCCGUAACUGACGCUGAGGCGCGAAAGCGUGGGGAGCAAACAGG